rnacentral:rRNA from 1 species
AGGAUCAUUCGCAAUGGGCGAAAGCCUGACGAUGCGACGCUGCGUGGAGGAUGAAGGCCUUCGGGUUGUAAACUCCUGUCAUGGGGGAACAGGCGAGGGGACCCAACACGUCCCUUAGUUGAGUGUACCCCAAGAGGAAUUGGCGGCUAACUCUGUGCCAGCAGCCGCGGUAAUACAGAGGCCAAGAGCGUUGUUCGGAUUUACUGGGCGUAAAGGGCGCGUAGGCGGCGAGGCGUGUCAAGUGUGAAAUCUCCGGGCCCAACCCGGAAAGUGCGCUUGAAACUACCCCGCUCGAGUGCGGAAGGGGGAAUCGGAAUGCAGGGUGUAGCGGUGAAAUGCGUUGAUAUCCUGCAGAACACCGGAGGCGAAGGCGGAUUCCUUGUACGCAACUGACGCUGAGGCGCGAAAGUCGGGGGAGCAAACA